GAUUCCUCCAGAUUUUUUCAGAGAAAACACCAUCAGAUCCAUCUGUUGUUGUUUUUAGAGCAUGUUGUAGAUAUCUCCUGAUAUGAUUGUGGAUCUCUCCUGAGCCUAUGAAGUUGUGCUGAGAAACCGUGACAAAACCAGAACAAAGUAAGAGGGGAAAAACAUCACAGCUGGAUCUGGACAGAACGUCACUCUGACAUGUCGAGCUCCAAACAACAACAUCAUAGGUGUAAAGUGGAGCAGCACUGACCUGGAGCCAGAAUAUGUGCUUUUUUACAGAAAUGGGCAGUUUGAUCUAGAAAACCAGCAUCCAUCUUUUAAGAACCGGGUGGAUCUGCAGGACAGACAGAUGAAGGAUGGAGACGUGUCUCUGAUUCUGAAGGAUGUGACGAUUAAUGACACUGGAAGAUAUGAGUGUCGUGUCUUCUCAAAAGGGAGGAACACUGACCCCAUCAGCAUCAUCUACCUGAAAGUUUUUCCUCCAGGUCAGUCAGGAGGACACACAGAGGAUGGAUCUGUUGGACUGAUUGUUGGUCUGUCAGUUUCUGCUGUGCUUCUUGUUGUUGUUGUUGCUGCUGUUGUUGGUGGUGUUUUGAUCUAUAGAAAACAUAAACGGCAACAACAGAGUCAAGAUUCAUAUAAGCCUCCUGUUGAACAGCAGGAUGUUUGAAAUGUCUCAGAGAGGGAAAGGAAAAGCAGGAGAAAGUCUGACUGAAAAAACUAAAACAAUACCACCAGAGUUGAAAAACCAGAAGAGCUGCAUGUUUCCAAAGAGAUUUCACAGGAUGGAUGAUGGUCUGAUAAAUCAGCUGUAAAUACUCACUGUGCCUCAAAGAAGAAAAAAUAGACAUAAAACAAAGAAGAACACAAGUUCAAUAUAUCUUUAUGAGAUUUAAAUACACACACACACACACACACACACGUAUUGUUACAUAUUUAUGUAUUAUAUUAUAUUUACUUUCAACACUGAACAUUUAUGGCUUAUUAUGUAUUGGACAUUUCUAAAUAACAAUAUUUAUUAUUAGUAGUAUUAUUCAGUUUUUAUAAUAGUUAUAUCUUAAACAUUUCUUCCACACACAGGUUCAAUAUUUGAUUGUAGCUUUUGUCUGAGUCAUUUACAUCUUGUUUGUAUGUGGACCAGUUGGUCCUGUGUUCAAUCAAAGAAAAGUGAGCAAAUUUGAAAGUAAGUAGAAUGAGAAAACAUUUGUUUUCAUAGCACAAGGUAAACAGUUUGAGUGAACGCUCUGAAUCAAGGCUUCUCUUCCACUGAUGUCAACAAAUAACCUUAUGCUUUGUUUCCUCAAAGUAUUCAUGAAUUCAGGGACCUGUCUGUUUCAGAAACAGUGUGUUUUAUUUUCAGGUUCAGCUGUUUGUGAGAAUAAAGUUGUUCUGUUAAGUUUGAACCACACUGACUGAUCUUCAUGACUGAAAGGACAAACAUGUGAUAAAGAACAGAUGGAUUAUUGUAAAUUAUAGAUCAUAAAUCAUCUAUUCCAAAGUGUACCAGAUAGCUUCAAUUGAACAACUGAAUGUUCUAAUAGCAAAAUUAAACCAAACCCAGACAUAACCUCUGUAUAAAAGUCACAUGUUCCUCCCUCUGAUCUGUGAAGGUUUUUUUGUUGGUUUUCUGGUUGUUACUUCAAUUUAAAUGUUUCUAAGGCUGAUCACAUUUUGUGUCUAUUUAAUGUGAUUUUGUUGCUAAUAAAAUUUUACAGUACUGUGAAAGGAA
ensembl:lncRNA